rnacentral:rRNA from 1 species
GACAGAGGUCCCGAGCGUUAGGCGGAAUCACUGGGCUUAAAGCGUGUGUAGGCGGAUUGGUAAGUACCUUGUGAAAUCCCACGGCUUAACCGUGGAACUGCUUGGUAUACUGCUUAUCUUGGGCCACUUAGGGGCUACCGGAACAAACGGUGGAGCGGUGAAAUGCGUAGAUAUCGUUUGGAAAGCCAAUGGUGAAAACAGGUAGCUGGGAGUGUGCAGAAGCUGAGACACGAAAGCCAGGGGAGCGAACGGG